rnacentral:lncRNA from 1 species
GCUGAAGGUCCCUCCUUGCAUCCAAAACUCCAUGGCUUUGAAUAUACCCAUAGAACUCAGUUCCCAAAUACUUCAAGAGCCUGCAAGGAACUUAGCUUUUGAAAUGUUUCAGAGUCCCCUAGUGACCCCAGGAAGUACAAUGCAAUCUAGUUUUUCAGUCCCUGAAAGGAACAUACUUCAGCAAGAGUCUCAAGGACCAUCAAGACAAUCAGGUUGUGUGCCACUGUCAGAUAAAUAUGUUAACAAAAAAACUGGCCCUAUGCCUUCAAGAAAGAUUCGAAAAUAACGCACUGUGUACACCAAAGAACAUCCGCGCCUGCUGCAAAAACAUUUUGAUGAGUGCCAGUACCCAAAUGAGAAGAAAAUUGCGGAGCUGGCUGUAUCGGUUGGUGUUACAAAGAUGGAGAUUA